ACAGGGUGACAGGUGGUGCAUGGUUGUCGUCAGCUCGUGUCGUGAGAUGUUGGGUUAAGUCCCGCAACGAGCGCAACCCUCGCCUCUAGUUGCCAGCAUUCGGUUGGGCACUCUAGCGAGACUGCCGGUAAUAAACCGGAGGAAGUGGGAUGACGUCAAAUCAUCAUGCCCCUUAUGACCUGGGCUACACACGUGCUACAAUGGUUGGUACAACGAGUUGCGAGUCGGUGACGGCGAGCUAAUCUCUUAAAGCCAAUCUCAGUUCGGAUUGUAGGCUGCAACUCGCCUACAUGAAGUCGGAAUCGCUAGUAAUCGCGGAUCAGCACGCCGCGGUGAAUACGUUCCCGGGCCUU
rnacentral:rRNA from 1 species